rnacentral:rRNA from 1 species
CGGUAAUACGAAGGGACCUAGCGUAGUUCGGAAUUACUGGGCUUAAAGAGCACGUAGGUGGUUAAAAAAGUUGGUGGUGAAAUCCCAGAGCUUAACUCUGGAACUGCCAUCAAAACUUUUUAGCUAGAGUAUGAUAGAGGAAAGUAGAAUUUCUAGUGUAGAGGUGAAAUUCGUAGAUAUUAGAAAGAAUACCAAUUGCGAAGGCAACUUUCUGGAUCAUUACUGACACUGAGGUGCGAAAGCAUGGGUAGCGAAGAGGAUUAGAUACCCUCGUAGUCCAUGCUGUAAACGAUGUGUGCUAGACGUUGGAAAUUUAUUUUCAGUGUCGCAGCGAAAGCGUUAAGCACACCGCCUGGGGAGUACGACCGCAAGGUUAAAACUCAAAUGAAUUGACGGGGACCCGCACAAGCAGUGGAGCAUGUGGUUUAAUCCGAAGAUACGCGCAGAACCUUACCAACACUUGACAUGUUCGUCGCGACUUUAAGAGAUUAAAGUCUUCGGUUCGGCCGGACGAAACACAGGUGCUGCAUGGCUGUCGUCAGCUCGUGUCGUGAGAUGUUGGGUUAAGUCCCGCAACGAGCGCAACCCUUACUUUUAGUUGCCACCAUUUAGUUGAGCACUCUGAAAGAACUGCCAGUGAUAAGCUGGAGGAAGGUGGGGAUGACGUCAAGUCCUCAUGGCCCUUACGUGUUGGGCUACACACGUGCUACAAUGGCACUCACAAUAAGAAGCGAAGAGGCGACUCUCAGCAAAUCUUAAAAAAGUGCCUCAGUUCGGAUUGUACUCUGCAACUCGAGUACAUGAAGCUGGAAUUGCUAGUAAUCGCGGAUCAGCGCGCCGCGGUGAAUACGUUCCCGGG